UACGAAGGGUGCAAGCGUUACUCGGAAUUACUGGGCGUAAAGCGUGCGUAGGCGGUUUGUUAAGUCUGUUGUGAAAUCCCCGGGCUCAACCUGGGAAUGGCAAUGGAUACUGGCAAGCUAGAGUGUGUCAGAGGAUGGUGGAAUUCCCGGUGUAGCGGUGAAAUGCGUAGAGAUCGGGAGGAACAUCAGUGGCGAAGGCGGCCAUCUGGGACAACACUGACGCUGAGGCACGAAAGCGUGGGGAGCAAACAGG
rnacentral:rRNA from 1 species